rnacentral:lncRNA from 1 species
AUAGUAUAGCAGCAGAUGAGGCCAUCUAGAGAGUGCUUACAUAAGCCAGUACCACAGCAUACUCACCAGCAGCCAGUGCUUAACAGGCAGACAUUUUGCUAAGGAAGGGAUGACAUGGACCAAGCCAAAAGCUAGUUUCUUGGCCUGCCACAGGAACAGUGAGGGAAAAGCCAAAGAUGAACUUUUGAAUAAUGAGGCUGAGAAUGACAAUCUAUAAGAGAGAUUAGAAUUGAAACAGCUGGUCAAUAUUAAAAUGCUGAGGGAAAGAAAUUGUAUUCGAGUGAACUGGGAAGGACUCAUCAUAUUCAUGCUCUAGAUUUUCUCAUCAGCCUUCAGUCGAAACUAUAACCUUCCCAUCUAUGCAGUUGAGUUCAGUUUUGUCCUGACUACUUGGAGCAUCAGGGCCUGUGUAUCUUACUUCGCCCUCCUUGUGAGUUGCCACUUCCUGUUCAUCCUCCUAUCAACGUGAUAUAAACACCAAAAUAGACCAAAGUAAUUAUCUGGGGAAUGUCCAGAGGGUGUUUACCUUCAGAAAAUUAACAGCUUUGAGACUAAAUCGAUGACCCAGCAAGAAGGUUCUCAUCAGUGGCUGACCAGAUGCCAGAAACAUGCCAUUGGAGUGCCCAGCCUUCAGAACAGAAACAUGGCUGUAUAAGUAGAAAACUUUGAAGAAUUUGCUGUAAGUAACAAAUAUGUUUAGAAAGGUUACAGACUACAAUAUCUAAUUUAGAAGUCCUUUGUAUUUCUACAUAUUAGUAAUAAAUAAUUGGAAUUUAAAAUUUAUAAAAAGUACUAUUAUAAUAGUACUAUCUAAAAUGAA